GGCACUACAAGUGACAUGCCACUGGGCAGCACUGUUCACAUUAUGUAAGUGAUAAAAUUGACCUAAAUAUCCAUCAAUGGACAAAUAGAUCAAGAAAACAUGAUAAACAUACACAGUGGAAUACUAUACAGCUACAAAAAGAAUGACCUUCUGUCAUUUGUGACAACGUGGAUAAACCUGCAGGACAUUCUGUUAAGUGAAAUCAACCAGGUACAGAAAAACAAAUAUUGCAUGAGCUCACUCAUAUGUGGAAUCUAAAGUAAUUUUACUCAUUGACCAACCUCUUUCCAUCCCCCAUCCCCUUUUCUCUCCUCAACCUCUGGUAACUGCUGUUCUACUCUUUAUUUCUAUGAGACCACAGUUACAGUUAGAUAGGAAGAAUAAAUUCUGGUGUUCUAUUACAUAGCAGAGUGACUACAGCUAAAAAUAGUGUAUUAUAUAUUUCAAUAUAGCUAGAGAAGAAGAUCUUGAAUGUUAUCACCACAAAGAAAUGAUAAUGCUGUGGUAAUGGGUAUGUUAAUUAUCCUGAUAUGAUCAUUAAACAAUGCAUAUAUCUAUUGAAACAUCACAGUA
ensembl:lncRNA LINC01515 long intergenic non-protein coding RNA 1515